AUGUCAGGUCGUGGAAAGGGUGGUAAGGGACUUGGAAAGGGAGGUGCAAAGAGGCACAGAAAGGUUCUCCGAGACAACAUCCAAGGCAUCACGAAGCCAGCUAUUCGUAGAUUGGCGAGAAGAGGAGGUGUGAAGAGAAUCAGCGGCUUGAUCUACGAAGAAACAAGAGGUGUGUUGAAGAUCUUUUUGGAGAACGUCAUCCGCGAUGCUGUUACAUAUACCGAACACGCAAGGAGGAAGACUGUUACCGCCAUGGAUGUUGUUUAUGCGCUAAAGAGGCAGGGAAGAACCUUGUACGGUUUCGGAGGUUGA